rnacentral:lncRNA from 1 species
AGGAGAACGGUGCAGCACAUGCUAAUGGCGACGCUGAAGAGACCCAGACUCCCAAGAAGAAGAAAAAGAAGAGCCGUGAAAUUUCGGAGGAAGCUGAACCUAAGACAGCCACUGAGGGGAAGAAGAAGAAAAAUGAAGAAGCUGAACCUAAGACAGCCACCGAGGGGAAGAAGAAGAAAAAGAAGGCAGUCAAGGCUGAUGAAUGACAAGCUAUUUGUUGUAUGUCAGUACAAAUCCUAGUAUUUGUUGAAAACCGAGAUAAGCACCUAGCUUCUAGUUCAUGAGGUGUACGAUGCAAUUCAAUUCAACUAUGAAGUUCUGCAAUCCAACUCAACUACGAAGUUCUAUCGUCUCUAGCUUGAUUGUAAUUUUUUUAUGAGGGUGCGGUUGGAUAAGCAAAUAGCUUGGUGAGUUGGCGUUCGAUUGUUAUAUUGAGUGAGAACUGAGAUUUGAAGGCAUCUUCGAGACACUUUUUUGAAGGCAGUCAAGGCUGAUGAAUGACAAGCUAUUUGUUGUAUGUCAGUACAAAUCCUAGUAUUUGUUGAAAACCGAGAUAAGCACCUAGCUUCUAGUUCAUGAGGUGUACGAUGCAAUUCAAUUCAACUAUGAAGUUCUGCAAUCCAACUCAACUACGAAGUUCUAUCGUCUCUAGCUUGAUUGUAAUUUUUUUAUGAGGGUGCGGUUGGAUAGGCAAAUAGCUUGGUGAGUUGGCGUUCGAUUGUUAUAUUGAGUGAGAACUGAGAUUUGAAGGCAUCUUCGAGACACUUUUUUGUUAGUAGCAUGAA